CCUACGGGCGGCAGCAGUGAGGAAUAUUGGUCAAUGGGAGAGAUCCUGAACCAGCCAAGCCGCGUGAGGGAAGACGGCCCUAUGGGUUGUCAACUUCUUUUGUCGGAGAACAAAAUGCGGGACGUGUUCCGGACUGCGUGUAUCCGAAGAAAAAGCAUCGGCUAACUCCGUGCCAGCAGCCGCGGUAAUACGGAGGAUGCGAGCGUUAUCCGGAUUUAUUGGGUUAAAAGGGUGCGUAGGCGGGCGGUUAAGUCAGUGGUAAAAUUGCGGGGCUCAACCCCGUCGAGCCGUUGAAACUGGUAGUCUUGAGUUGGCGAGAGGUAGGCGGAAUGCGCGGUGUAGCGGUGAAAUGCAUAGAUAUCGCGCAGAACUCCGAUUGCGAAGGCAGCGUACCGGCG
rnacentral:rRNA from 1 species